rnacentral:rRNA from 1 species
AUUGAACGCUGGCGGCAGGCCUAACACAUGCAAGUCGAGCGGAUGAAGGGAGCUUGCUCCUGGAUUCAGCGGCGGACGGGUGAGUAAUGCCUAUGAAUCUGCCUGGUAGUGGGGGAUAACGUCCGGAAACGGGCGCUAAUACCGCAUACGUCCUGAGGGAGAAAGUGGGGGAUCUUCGGACCUCACGCUAUCAGAUGAGCCUAGGUCGGAUUAGCUAGUUGGUGGGGUAAAGGCCUACCCAGGCGACGAUCCGUAACUGGUAUUAGAGGAUGAUCAGUCACACUGGAACUGAGACACGGUACAGACUCCUACGGGAGGCAGCAGUGGGGAAUAUUGGACAAUGGGCGAAAGCCUGAUCCAGCCAUGCCGCGUGUGUGAAGAAGGUCUUCGGAUUGUAAAGCACUUUAAGUUGGGAGGAAGGGCAGUAAGUUAAUACCUUGCUGUUUUGACGUUACCAACAGAAUAAGCACCGGCUAACUUCGUG